AACGUAGGGGGCCAGCGUUUCUCGGAAUUACUGGGCGUAAAGGGCUAGUAGGUGGCCAACUAAGUCAGACGUGAAAUCCCUCAGCUUAACUGGGGAACUGCUUCUGAUACUGGAUGGCUUGAGUUUGGGAGAGGGAUGCGGAAUUCCAGGUGUAGCGGUGAAAUGCGUAGAUAUCUGGAGGAACACCGGUGGCGAAAGCGACUUCCUGGUCGAAUACUGACGUUCAUGUGCGAAAGCGUGGGGAGCAAACAGG
rnacentral:rRNA from 1 species